AGUGAGUGGCGGACGGGUGAGUAACACGUGGGUAACCUGCCCUAAAGUGGGGGAUAACAUUUGGAAACAGAUGCUAAUACCGCAUAAAACCUAGCACCGCAUGGUGCAGGGUUGAAAGAUGGUUUCGGCUAUCACUUUAGGAUGGACCCGCGGUGCAUUAGUUAGUUGGUGAGGUAAAGGCUCACCAAGACCGUGAUGCAUAGCCGACCUGAGAGGGUAAUCGGCCACACUGGGACUGAGACACGGCCCAGACUCCUACGGGAGGCAGCAGUAGGGAAUCUUCCACAAUGGACGAAAGUCUGAUGGAGCAACGCCGCGUGAGUGAAGAAGGUUUUCGGAUCGUAAAACUCUGUUGUUGGAGAAGAAUGUAUCUGAUAGUAACUGAUCAGGUAGUGACGGU
rnacentral:rRNA from 1 species